UCUUAUAAGAUCGAUGGUGUGGGCACCUAGUCUUCCAUUUCCUAAAGCUUUUUCUUUGUCUUAGGUGUCACUCACUCUUAUUAUGGAUCUUAUAGGGCGGGUGGACGUUCUCUAAAAGAAAGGCCCGUGUACACACACAUUAUAAGCAGUAUCCCGAACGAAGGCAUAAGAUAGAAGAUGGAGCUAUGAACUUCCGGGCACAGAUGACCUUCUUUCUCUUUUCUUGUUAGUAU
rnacentral:lncRNA from 1 species